GUCUAUGGCCAUGACACCCUAAACAAGCCCAAUCCCAUCUGAUCUCGGAGGGUAAGCAAGGUCGGGCCUGGUUAGUACUUGGAUGGGAGACCACCUAGGAAGACCAGGUGCUGUAGGUG
rnacentral:rRNA from 1 species